rnacentral:lncRNA from 1 species
GGCCUCAGCUGCCCAGAACUCGCCCCUGGCUGCUCGUUCACAGCCCCGGCGCCUUCAGGCGGCUGCACUCGGCGAUUCUCCGAGCGAAUUGUUCGCCGAGAAUUGCUCCGUGCCAGCGAGUCCUGAACUCGCUAAGCAUUGGUCUCUGCGGCGGAUUCCUGAAUUCCGGUUGAAGUUUUGUUGAGGCAUUGUUGCUCACCUGGGAUAUCCUCCUUCCAAAAUGGCUUCUGGAUUCCCAGAAAAGACACUGGCACCUCAUCUUCUGCGCAGGGAAAGACUGAAGCCUGACACUAUCCAGCCCUGCAGGCAGCACUGGAGUCAGGCCACAGAGGUUCCUUGGUGUCUGAGCUCACUGGAGUGAAGAUGCCCCACUGCUGAGGCUCUG